UUGAAGCUCAGGGCUGCUGUCCAGCCCUGUCCACUCCCCUGUCAAGGGAUUGUAUCAUCAUUGCGAAACAAGCAUAUAAUCUUCUACGACUUCCAAGUACAUACAUAAUGGCACAAAGGAAUUAUAGUUUUUCAGAGCUCUUCCCUGAAACCAGAUGCCAUGACAAGUUGCUUUAAGGCAAGUUACUUGCCAGGCUUGGUGGUGUGCACCUGUAGUCCCAGCUACUCUGGAGGCUGAGGCAGGAGAAUCACUUGAACCCAGGAGGCAGAGGUUGCAGUGAGCCGAGAUCACGCCACUACACUCCAGCCUGGGCAGCAGAGCAAGACUCAAACAAUAAAUAAAUAAAUAAAUGACUCAUGAAUACUGCCAUUGUUCCAGAUAGCAGCAGAAUCCUUUUCUGGGAAUAAUUAUUUGGUGAUUUUUAUGGAGGAUACAAUUUGCUGGCAUCCUAGUGAAACUGUACUCAUUUUUAAAAUGUUUAGUAUACAAUAUAAAAGACUAAGAUUUGAAAGACUGAAAAUUGUACAUCGUUCAGAGGUUAUCAGUGUUCAUUAAAAUGUCACUAAUU
rnacentral:lncRNA from 1 species